rnacentral:rRNA from 1 species
AGUGAACGCUGGCGGUAGGCCUAACACAUGCAAGUCGAACGGCAGCACAGUAAGAGCUUGCCCUUACGGGUGGCGAGUGGCGGACGGGUGAGGCAUACAUCGGAAUCUACUUUUUCGUGGGGGACAACGUAGGGAAACUUACGCUAAUACCGCAUAUGACCUACGGGUUAAAGCAGUGGAUCUUCGGACCUUGCGCGACUGAAUUAGCCGAUGUCGGAUUAGCUAGUUGGCGGGGUAAAGGCCCACCAAGGCGACGAUCCGUAGCUGGUCUGAGAGGAUGAUCAGCCACACUGGAACUGAGACACGGUCCAGACUCCUACGGGAGGCAGCAGUGGGGAAUAUUGGACAAUGGGCGCAAGCCUGAUCCAGCCAUACCGCGUGGGUGAAGAAGGCCUUCGGGUUGUAAAGCCCUUUUGUUGGGAAAGAAAAGCAGCAGGUUAAUACCCCGCUGUUCUGACGGUACCCAAAGAAUAAGCACCGGCUAACUUCGUG